UACGUAGGGUGCAAGCGUUAAUCGGAAUUACUGGGCGUAAAGCGUGCGCAGGCGGUUUGGUAAGUCAGAUGUGAAAUCCCCGGGCUUAACCUGGGAACUGCAUUUGUGACUGCCCGGCUAGAGUGUGGCAGAGGGGGGUAGAAUUCCACGUGUAGCAGUGAAAUGCGUAGAUAUGUGGAGGAAUACCGAUGGCGAAGGCAGCCCCCUGGGAUAACACUGACGCUCAUGCACGAAAGCGUGGGGAGCAAACAGG
rnacentral:rRNA from 1 species